rnacentral:rRNA from 1 species
GGUUAAGCGACUAAGCGUACACGGUGGAUGCCCUGGCAGUCAGAGGCGAUGAAGGACGUGCUAAUCUGCGAUAAGCGUCGGUAAGGUGAUAUGAACCGUUAUAACCGGCGAUUUCCGAAUGGGGAAACCCAGUGUGUUUCGACACACUAUCAUUAACUGAAUCCAUAGGUUAAUGAGGCGAACCGGGGGAACUGAAACAUCUAAGUACCCCGAGGAAAAGAAAUCAACCGAGAUUCCCCCAGUAGCGGCGAGCGAACGGGGAGCAGCCCAGAGCCUGAAUCAGUAUGUGUGUUAGUGGAAGCGUCUGGAAAGGCGCGCGAUACAGGGUGACAGCCCCGUACACAAAAAUGCACAUAUUGUGAGCUCGAUGAGUAGGGCGGGACACGUGGUAUCCUGUCUGAAUAUGGGGGGACCAUCCUCCAAGGCUAAAUACUCCUGACUGACCGAUAGUGAACCAGUACCGUGAGGGAAAGGCGAAAAGAACCCGGCGAGGGGAGUGAAAAAGAACCUGAAACCGUGUACGUACAAGCAGUGGGAGCACGCUUAGGCGUGUGACUGCGUACCUUUUGUAUAAUGGGUCAGCGACUUAUAUUCUGUAGCAAGGUUAACCGAAUAGGGGAGCCGAAGGGAAACCGAGUCUUAACUGGGCGUUAAGUUGCAGGGUAUAGACCCGAAACCCGGUGAUCUAGCCAUGGGCAGGUUGAAGGUUGGGUAACACUAACUGGAGGACCGAACCGACUAAUGUUGAAAAAUUAGCGGAUGACUUGUGGCUGGGGGUGAAAGGCCAAUCAACCGGGAGAUAGCUGGUUCUCCCCGAAAGCUAUUUAGGUAGCGCCUCGUGAAUUCAUCUCCGGGGGUAGAGCACUGUUUCGGCAAGGGGUCAUCCCGACUUACCAACCCGAUGCAAACUGCGAAUACCGGAGAAUGUUAUCACGGGAGACACACGGCGGGUGCUAACGUCCGUCGUGAAGAGGGAAACAACCCAGACCGCCAGCUAAGGUCCCAAAGUCAUGGUUAAGUGGGAAACGAUGUGGGAAGGCCCAGACAGCCAGGAUGUUGGCUUAGAAGCAGCCAUCAUUUAAAGAAAGCGUAAUAGCUCACUGGUCGAGUCGGCCUGCGCGGAAGAUGUAACGGGGCUAAACCAUGCACCGAAGCUGCGGCAGCGACACUAUGUGUUGUUGGGUAGGGGAGCGUUCUGUAAGCCUGUGAAGGUGUGCUGUGAGGCAUGCUGGAGGUAUCAGAAGUGCGAAUGCUGACAUAAGUAACGAUAAAGCGGGUGAAAAGCCCGCUCGCCGGAAGACCAAGGGUUCCUGUCCAACGUUAAUCGGGGCAGGGUGAGUCGACCCCUAAGGCGAGGCCGAAAGGCGUAGUCGAUGGGAAACAGGUUAAUAUUCCUGUACUUGGUGUUACUGCGAAGGGGGGACGGAGAAGGCUAUGUUGGCCGGGCGACGGUUGUCCCGGUUUAAGCGUGUAGGCUGGUUUUCCAGGCAAAUCCGGAAAAUCAAGGCUGAGGCGUGAUGACGAGGCACUACGGUGCUGAAGCAACAAAUGCCCUGCUUCCAGGAAAAGCCUCUAAGCAUCAGGUAACAUCAAAUCGUACCCCAAACCGACACAGGUGGUCAGGUAGAGAAUACCAAGGCGCUUGAGAGAACUCGGGUGAAGGAACUAGGCAAAAUGGUGCCGUAACUUCGGGAGAAGGCACGCUGAUAUGUAGGUGAAGUCCCUCGCGGAUGGAGCUGAAAUCAGUCGAAGAUACCAGCUGGCUGCAACUGUUUAUUAAAAACACAGCACUGUGCAAACACGAAAGUGGACGUAUACGGUGUGACGCCUGCCCGGUGCCGGAAGGUUAAUUGAUGGGGUUAGCCGCAAGGCGAAGCUCUUGAUCGAAGCCCCGGUAAACGGCGGCCGUAACUAUAACGGUCCUAAGGUAGCGAAAUUCCUUGUCGGGUAAGUUCCGACCUGCACGAAUGGCGUAAUGAUGGCCAGGCUGUCUCCACCCGAGACUCAGUGAAAUUGAACUCGCUGUGAAGAUGCAGUGUACCCGCGGCAAGACGGAAAGACCCCGUGAACCUUUACUAUAGCUUGACACUGAACAUUGAGCCUUGAUGUGUAGGAUAGGUGGGAGGCUUUGAAGUGUGGACGCCAGUCUGCAUGGAGCCGACCUUGAAAUACCACCCUUUAAUGUUUGAUGUUCUAACGUUGACCCGUAAUCCGGGUUGCGGACAGUGUCUGGUGGGUAGUUUGACUGGGGCGGUCUCCUCCUAAAGAGUAACGGAGGAGCACGAAGGUUGGCUAAUCCUGGUCGGACAUCAGGAGGUUAGUGCAAUGGCAUAAGCCAGCUUGACUGCGAGCGUGACGGCGCGAGCAGGUGCGAAAGCAGGUCAUAGUGAUCCGGUGGUUCUGAAUGGAAGGGCCAUCGCUCAACGGAUAAAAGGUACUCCGGGGAUAACAGGCUGAUACCGCCCAAGAGUUCAUAUCGACGGCGGUGUUUGGCACCUCGAUGUCGGCUCAUCACAUCCUGGGGCUGAAGUAGGUCCCAAGGGUAUGGCUGUUCGCCAUUUAAAGUGGUACGCGAGCUGGGUUUAGAACGUCGUGAGACAGUUCGGUCCCUAUCUGCCGUGGGCGCUGGAGAACUGAGGGGGGCUGCUCCUAGUACGAGAGGACCGGAGUGGACGCAUCACUGGUGUUCGGGUUGUCAUGCCAAUGGCACUGCCCGGUAGCUAAAUGCGGAAGAGAUAAGUGCUGAAAGCAUCUAAGCACGAAACUUGCCCCGAGAUGAGUUCUCCCUGACUCCUUGAGAGUCCUGAAGGAACGUUGAAGACGACGACGUUGAUAGGCCGGGUGUGUAAGCGCAGCGAUGCGUUGAGCUAACCGGUACUAAUGAACCGUGAGGCUUAACCUU